rnacentral:rRNA from 1 species
GACGAACGCUGGCGGCGUGCCUAACACAUGCAAGUCGAACGGGGUGAUUCCUUCGGGGAUCACUUAGUGGCGAACGGGUGAGUAACGCGUGAGGAACCUGCCUUUCAGUGGGGGACAACAGUUGGAAACGACUGCUAAUACCGCAUAAUGUAGCGAGACCGCAUGAUCUUGCUACCAAAGCUUUAUGUGCUGAAAGAUGGCCUCGCGUCUGAUUAGAUAGUUGGUGAGGUAACGGCCCACCAUGGCGACGAUCAGUAGCCGGUCUGAGAGGAUGAACGGCCACAUUGGGACUGAGAUACGGCCCAGACUCCUACGGGAGGCAGCAGUGGGGAAUAUUGGGCAAUGGGGGAAACCCUGACCCAGCAACGCCGCGUGAAGGAAGAAGGCCUUCGGGUUGUAACGUUACUUUAGUCAGGGACGAAGGACGUGACGGUACCUAGCAGAAAAGCAACGGCUAACUACGUGCCAGCAGCCGCGGU